rnacentral:rRNA from 1 species
UACGGAGGGAGCUAGCGUUGUUCGGAAUUACUGGGCGUAAAGCGCGCGUAGGCGGUUUUUUAAGUCAGAGGUGAAAGCCCAGUGCUCAACACUGGAACUGCCUUUGAAACUGGAAAACUUGAAUCUUGGAGAGGUCAGUGGAAUUCCGAGUGUAGAGGUGAAAUUCGUAGAUAUUCGGAAGAACACCAGUGGCGAAGGCGACUGACUGGACAGUGACUGACGCUGAGACGCGAAAGCGUGGGGAGCAAACAGG